rnacentral:rRNA from 1 species
UACGAAGGGGAGCUAGCGUUGUCCGGAUUUGAUUGGCGUAAAGAGCUCGUAGGCGGCUCGGUAAGUCGGGUGUGAAACCUCCAGGCUCAACCUGGAGACGCCACCCGAUACUGCCGUGGCUAGAGUCCGGUAGAGGAGCGUAGAAUUCCUGGUGUAGCGGUGAAAUGCGCAGAUAUCAGGAGGAAUACCAGCGGCGAAGGCGGCGCUCUGGGCCGGUACUGACGCUGAGGAGCGAAAGCGUGGGGAGCAAACAGG